AGUGAACGCUGGCGGUAGGCCUAACACAUGCAAGUCGAACGGCAGCACAGUAAGAGCUUGCUCUUACGGGUGGCGAGUGGCGGACGGGUGAGGAAUACAUCGGAAUCUACUUUUUCGUGGGGGAUAACGUAGGGAAACUUACGCUAAUACCGCAUACGACCUACGGGUGAAAGCAGGGGAUCUUCGGACCUUGCGCGAUUGAAUGAGCCGAUGUCGGAUUAGCUAGUUGGCGGGGUAAAGGCCCACCAAGGCGACGAUCCGUAGCUGGUCUGAGAGGAUGAUCCGACACAGUGGAACUGAGACACGGUCCAGACUCCUACGGGAGGCAGCAGUGGGGAAUAUUGGACAAUGGGCGCAAGCCUGAUCCAGCCAUACCGCGUGGGUGAAGAAGGCCUUCGGGUUGUAAAGCCCUUUUGUUGGGAAAGAAAAGCAGCAGGUUAAUACCCCGCUGUUCGGACGGUACCCAAAGAAUAAGCACCGGCUAACUCCGU
rnacentral:rRNA from 1 species